AUUGAACGCUGGCGGCAGGCCUAACACAUGCAAGUCGAACGGUAACAGGAGGCAGCUUGCCGCUUCGCUGACGAGUGGCGGACGGGUGAGUAAUGUCUGGGAAGUUGCCUCACGGAGGGGGAUAACUACUGGAAACGGUAGCUAAUACCGCAUAAUGUUGCAAGACCAAUGAGGGGGACCUUCGGGACCCUUGCCAUCGGAUGUGCCCAGAUGGGAUCAGCUUGUCAGUGGGGUAACGGCUCACCAAAGCGACGAUCCCUAGCUGGUCUGCGAGGAUGACCAGCCACACUGUGACUGAGACACAUUCCAGACUCCUACACGAGGCAGCGGUGGGGAAUAUUGCACGAUGGACGCAAGCCUGAUGCUGCCAUGCCGCGUGUAUGAAGAUGGCCUUCUGGUUGUAAAGUACUUUCGGCGGGGGGGUUGUAAGUAUAGUUAAUCCCUUUGCUCAUUGACAUUACCCGCAGAAGAAGCACCGGCUAACUCCGUG
rnacentral:rRNA from 1 species